AUUUCUCCAGCCACCAAGAUAGGAGGUGGAGGAGACCCUCUGUUGGAUCCUUCUGAACCUGACUUUCAGAGGCUUCUGGGAGCUCCUAGGGAGCUGAGAUGACGUGGGACACCUGACUCUACCCUCACAGGCUGAAUUUCAACAAGUCCAGGCUGCUGACUCGAGCAGCCAAGGGCUUCCUGGGCAAGCCACUGGUCAAGGCCGCAGAGUCCACCUCGGGGAGCCAGAGCUUUGACUAUGUCCCUCUGGUGUCUCUGCAGCUGGCCUCCGGUGCUUUCCUGCUCAACCAAGCCUUCUGUGAGGCCAUCCACAUCCCCAUGGAGAAGCUCAAGCGGACCUCGCCCUUCUCUUGCCACCGAGUGUCCCUCUCUCCCCGACAACUGUCCACCAGCCCCUCACCUCAGCAGCUGUCCUGCGACAGCAUCUUCCUGGAGCCUCUGGCUGAGGGCAGGCCAGGCUCAGAGCCCAGGGCACUGGUGGAGCACACGGAAAGCUGUGGGCCACCAUAGUGGGGCUGGCUUGGCUGGAGCACAGCUCAGCCUCCUACUUCACUGAGUGGGAGCUAGUGGCCGCCAAGGCCAACUCAUGGCUGGAGCAGCAGGAGGUGCCCGAGGGCCACACACAGAGCACGCUGAAGGCUGCUGCUCGCCAGCUAUUUGUGCUCCUGCGGCACUGGGAUGAGAACCUGGAGUUCAAUAUGCUCUGCUAUAACCCAAAUUAUGUGUAGAGGGGAGGGGGGUUGGUCAGGAAGAGGGAUGGGCCAUUUUGGCCUGGUGGAGGAACCUUUUGAAGCUGUAGCCAAUAUACUGAUUGCUAGAAAGAGCCCUGGACUGGCAGUUGGGAGGCCUGAGUUCUAUCCCAACUUUGCUACCACCUAGCUGUGCAACUUUAGGCCCUGUCCCUGUCUGGGCCUCAGUAUCCUCAUCUAUAAAAUACUAGGGUGAGAUGAGGCAGUAAACUCGAUCUUUUAAUGGUUCAAAUGUUCCUUUCUGCCCAGACUCUCAGGCAAUCCUGGGCUUUAAUGCUACUAGGGGAUAGUGAGACAAAAAUACAACUAAGCCUGAGUUUUCUCUGGUGGAAGACCAUGAGGGCACAGAGUAGAAACAGCAGUCCCCCUCCUAACCCCAACAAAAGGACAGAUAAGGCCAGGGAAUUGGCUCAGUGGUUUCGCCGCCUGCUGCGCAACCCCAAGGACCCGAGUUCGAUCCCCAGUACCAAAAAAAAAGGGCAGAUGAGAGAACCCAGUGACUAAAGUAACCAGACCUAUAAGCCUUCAUCCAGGCACUCUGUUACACUGGGGCUAGGCUCCUGUCUUCAAGGUGACAGUCUAGGACCCCCACUUCCCACUUCCAAGCCAACUGGAGAACCAUCCUUCCCAACACUUUCCACAGUUUCUCGAGGGCCUUUUCCUGGGCAAGGAAAUUUUUAGUUUCAGUUUACAGAUUUCUGGGGCUUUCUGUCUAAGGAGAGCUGGUGGGUAGUGCCCAGGGAGAUAGAGACCUCGCAAGCCAAAGUAUUAGAUUGAAGCUUUGGUCUGUGCAGAAACAAUCCAAACAGACAUACAUGCUCACAGAAGUUAGGGAAGAAAGCAGAUGAUAUCUGAAAUAACCUACAUACUUUCAGGAGGUGGAUAAAGUGGAUUCCAUGCACUUGCAUUAAGAGGCUAGAGAGGCGCUUCUAUGGGCACUGCAUUCUGGGAUAGUGGGGUCCUUCUCUAACCAGACUACAUUGUGGGAGAGAGAGAAUACCUUUGCAACAAAAACCAUGCCUGGCCUCCAUGCAUUUGGGGAUGGUAGCUUCAGCUAGAUGGCAUGAUUGGUUUGGUGAAAAGAAAGGAUGGUGAAGCAUCAAAGCAGGAUCCCCGGGGGCUCCCCCACCCCAGGCCCACCACAUGACACUCAUAGACAGGUGUGCACAGCCUCUGAUUCCCUUAUGACUAGGGUCAAACUGCCCAAUUGCUAUUGCCCCCACAGACUCCCCCAGAGAUGGGGCUGGGCCCCCAGGCUGAACUGAUACACCCCAAAGUCCUCUUUCCAAGGCCUUAGCCUCUCCUCAUCAAAUUCCUUUCCCAGGAAUGGUCCCAGGCCCUUGGCAUGAAGCCCCACAGACCUCCCUUUUGCGGGGUAGGUGUGGCUCUGGCACAAGUUCCAGCCUCAUAAAGAUUCAAAGAAUGUCCAGGCUACAGGAGGGGCCAGAGGAAGGGAGGGGCUCCAGCAGACUGCAGCAGGUGUGACUGUGACAGGAUGUGGUGGCCUGGCCCUACCCCAUCCUUCCCUCCCACCAAGAUGCAGCAUCUCCCAACAGGGAACUUGCUUCCCCUGCAGCCUUUGGUAAUGGCUGCUUCACUGCCUGGCUCUGCUCCUUCUGGGAGGAACCCAGCCAGGCAGUCCCUGACCCUAUGCCAUUGUGACUCCAGUGGGACAGAAAGCCAGGAUGGGGUGUAGGCUCAACAUCAGCGCCACCAAGGAAGACAAGAGCUUUAGGUUGUCUUACUCGAGGCCCCAAAGAGGUGUGAGGGAAAGCAGUGUCAUCUCCCUGUGCUCCUCCCCCUGCCCCAUAAAAACCGUACUCCCAUAAAAACCAUUCUUCUUUAGCUAUGCAGCCUGUAACCCUAGCUUCAGGGCAAGGAUGGAGGGGGCGACAGUCACUUCCUGGUCCACCACUAAUGGAAAAAUUGCCAGGCUUCAAGUCAGAGCACCUGGGCUUGAUUAGCUUGGGCAGUGAGUGGCUUCCCCUCUCUGAGUGUUCUGGAGCUGGGGGUCUGCCCACUGCUCUGAUAUUCCCAGAUGAUCGCCUCUAAGUUUUUCCCUCUCAGUGAACAUGGGUUUGCUCCAUUUCUCCAUGUGACCUUGAACAAGUCAUGUAUGCACCUGGGGCUUCUUUUCCUCCUCUAACAUGAAUAGGUUGUACCAGGCUGUCCAGCCCCCAGCCCCAUUUCCCCAUGAGCCUGAUUCUCACUCUUCAGGGCAUGGUGAGGACAAUAACCAGGGUCUGAGGCAGCCCAGCCCCUGCCCAGUGUGACCGGUAUGUAAGAUGCCUGGACAGAGUGAGCCAGAAACCUGGUGAGGUGGUGAACACACCACCCCCUUCUCCUGCAAGUUCCUUGGGCAGCACCCCUGCAGCAGCAGCCAGGGCUCAGCGAUGUGUCUGGUAUAUGAUCUGCACCACCCCUGGCUGCCCUGCCCAGCACCCAAGUGCAGGGGAACAAAUCUUUUUGAUUUCAAGUAACCCAAGGGCUGCAGAGGGACAUCUAGACAUGAGACAUUUUUAAAAUAACUCCGGUGGUAUAAAGAUGAUUCGCAGCCUCAGGAAUUUGCUGCCAGGAUUGCCAAGCAGAGGAUUGGAGAGACUCACCGGAAGGAAAGGAUAAGAGCCUUGGGUAAUGAACACCUGCAUAGAGGCCAGAGGGGUUGCAAAGGUCCUCUGGUGGUAAAACACAGCCAAUGCAACCUGGGAGAAUUUGGAUUCAUCUGGUUUAAUUUGUUAAACUAGCCCUUGCCUUCUGGGUCAUACAAAGGCAUACUGAUACCCCACACUGUCUGAAGAAAUGCUAAUGGCUCCCUUCAAUGAGGAAAAACUGAGCCAAGAAUUGGGGGCCUAAGGGUCAGUUGCAAUCCCACCCCCAGCAUGCUGUGUGACUUCUGGCAAAUCGAAUCCUUCCUCUGAGGCCCUGUCUCACCUUUUGUAGAACAAUGGGAUUAUACUUGAUCCCCAUUUCCAGCCCUGUUGCUCAGGUGAGAUGUGAAUAAGCCACCCACCAGAAACUGUUCUGUGGGCGAAUAUGCGGGGAAGCACCAGGAGAACAGACUUCUUUCAGGUUAGGAUGGUAUAUGUGGAUCCAGUGAGGUGACCCCCACGCAGCUCUUCCAGGUUGCUCAGUUGGUUAAUGCUGGUCUAGAUCUCCCUGGGGAUUCUUUGUGCACUGACAUCCGAAAACCUUUAUGGAGCAUAUGCCCGGUUAUGGGGGUACUGCUGCGAACACACCAGAUGCUCUCUCUCCCCAUGUAGAGUUUGGCAAGAAGCAUGUGAAGAGCCUCUUCUGUGAAGAAUCUUCCCACUCCCUGGGGUUCCAGGUGGGUUUGUCCUGACCAACCAUGCUCCCAGCCCCCUGGUCCUGCCAUGGUGGGUGUGGCUGCAGACUGGCACUAUCUGGUUGCCAUUUGCACUAAGCCACUCUCUGCGCUCCAGACACACACUGAUGGUUUGGGUACAGCUGGCCACAAUAGUACACGGUGCCAUGCAGUCAGGAGAGCUCCCAGGUAGACCCAGGGGAGUCCCUGAAAUGGGGUUGACCUCCUGCCACACAAAGAUGAAGAGCCUUGUCUCUGAGUCCUCUCUCAGCAGAAAAGACCACCUCUGGACCCCAGGAAAGCUGGGCCCUGCCCUCAGGAAAGCUCAGCCCAUGGUUGUAAAAAAAGCUGCCUCAGCCUCCAACCUGCAUCUGUGUUUCCUACCCUGUCCCCUCCCUGUGGGCAAAAGGAAUGGCAUCCCCUGUCCUCUCCACCUGCACUGGCACUUGCUGUGGGUGAUAAAUAGAGUAGCUGGUUCCAAGACCAGCCCUGGUGGGUUUUCGUUUGUUCUUCUUAUUGUGAGAAACCAAGGAUCCCCUCCUCCCUUCUAGCUGGUUCACCUGUCAGUAAAGGCUUCUGAAAGUUUCCUUAAAUCUUGAUCACGCCCAGCUGAGCUGCACCCUUAUUUAAGGGCCAACUUUCUUCCUCUGUUGGCUACUCUUUUCCCUCCUUCUUCCUUAUCAGGGACUCCCAAGGGCAGGGAGUGAGGAAAGGGUUCUCCCCUACCUGCUAGAACCCUGUGUGUCACCUAGCACUUGCCACUCCAAGUGCUGCCUCUCACUACUUGGACACUGUCACAUCUCCAGGUGACCCCAGACACAAAUAUAUUCUGCAUCCUCAGUGCCCUAGGGAAGGAAAGGGAAGGAAUUGCCACCUCUAGAACAGAGCAUAUUUUUAUUGCCAAAGCACUUAGGAAAGGUCCUCUUUUUCCCCUCCCAGGGACUAAAUAAGUCAACAACAACAACAAAAAUGGGCGCAUCCCUCAGCUAUAACAUAGCACACUCCACAAUGCCAGUGUAAAAAUAACUAGGGCAGAGGUGUGUGUGGCAUUUUGCAACUGGAUAAUCUGAUCCACAGAGAUCUGUCCCCAGGUCAGGAGCUUGGCAGCAGUGCCCAGCCAGGCCUCCAGCCCCCUACUAUGGAGUAACCUGACCCUUGUGUCCAGCCUGCCCCAGGCCACUGACAGCAGCUGGUCAACAGCACUGCCUUCCCAAGUCACCUGACAAUGGAGGGUUUCUCCUGUCCAUGCUGCAAUUCUCCUUGGCUUGGGGCCAGCUUCUUUGAACUCACAGCUGCUUCCAAGCAAAGCACUUCGGCUCGAUGUGCUGACUGUGGCGACACGCGUGGUAUAGUUUUACUAUUUCCCCAGAUGGCUUUGGCUCAAGCGGCAUGGCCGGUGCUUGUCCCUGUCAGAGCCUCAAGUGCCUAUAACAUGCUCUCCUGUCCCUUCACCUGCUAACAGUAAUGUCCCUACAGUGCCUGUGACACUUCUUAUUCUUGGAAUAUACAGCACCUUCUUGCCUGGUGGCCAACUAUGUAAAUGUUGUGGAGGGCCUGGAUGUCAGCUGCCUGAUACCCACGAUCCUUUGUGAAUCCUGCCCUCAGGCUGUGUCUGUUCUCAAACUGAACAGCUUCUUUGGCUUCUUCGUAUACGGUGGCUGCUGUUCUCCUAUAAGCUUUGAGCUCAUAAAAACUGUCAACGUGGCAAAGUUACACAUGUGUCUACUCUUUUGUUCUCAGAGCCC
rnacentral:lncRNA from 1 species